GAUUUUCCAAACAGGCAAUUCAUCCUGGAAUCCUUGAAUGUGGAACUUUUCCUCACUAGAAAUGCAGCUGUACAGUCAAGCAGUUCAUCUUGGCAAGCCAAACAAUCACUGAAUUGUUUCCGUGGAAACACCAAACUGCAAUUUGGAUUACCAGAAUCAAAAUAGAAACAAGACAGCUUCAAAAAUAAAUAGCUUUGGAACUU